GACGAACGCUGGCGGCAAGCUUAACACAUGCAAGUCGAGCGCCCCGCAAGGGGAGCGGCAGACGGGUGAGUAACGCGUGGGAACGUGCCUUUCGGUUCGGAACAACUGAGGGAAACUUCAGCUAAAACCGGAUACGCCCUUCGGGGGAAAGUUUACGCCGAAAGAUCGGCCCGCGUUAGAUUAGCUAGUUGGUGGGGUAAUGGCCUACCAAAGCGACGAUCUAUAGCUGUUCUGAGAGGAAGAUCAGGCACACUGGGACUGAGACACGGCCCAGACUCCUGCGGGAGGCAGCAGUGGGGAAUAUUGGACAAGGGGCGCAAGCCUGAUCCAGCUAUGCCGCGUGGAUGAAGAAGGCCCGAGGGUUGUAAAGUCCUUUCGUUGGUGACGAUAAUGACGGCAACCAAAGAAGAAGCCCCGGCUAAUUUCGUGCCAGCCGCCGCCGUAAUAC
rnacentral:rRNA from 1 species